rnacentral:rRNA from 1 species
AACGAACGCUGGCGGCAGGCUUAACACAUGCAAGUCGAACGGGUGUAGCAAUACAUCAGUGGCAGACGGGUGAGUAACACGUGGGAACCUUCCUAGGGGUACGGAACAACUCAGGGAAACUUGAGCUAAUACCGUAUACGUCCGUGAGGAGAAAGAUUUAUCGCCCUUAGACGGGCCCGCGUCGGAUUAGCUAGUUGGUGGGGUAACGGCCUACCAAGGCGACGAUCCGUAGCUGAUCUUAGAGGAUGAUCAGCCACACUGGGACUGAGACACGGCCCAGACUCCUACGGGAGGCAGCAGUGGGGAAUCUUGGACAAUGGGCGCAAGCCUGAUCCAGCCAUGCCGCGUGAGUGAAGAAGGUCUUCGGUCUGUAAAGCUCUUUUGCCAGGGACGAUAAUGACGGUACCUGGAGAAUAAGCCCCGGCAAACUUCGUGCCAGCCGCCGCAGUAACAC